AUUGAACGCUGGCGGCAUGCCUUACACAUGCAAGUCGAACGGCAGCACGGGGGCAACCCUGGUGGCGAGUGGCGAACGGGUGAGUAAUACAUCGGAAUGUACCCAGUAGCGGGGGGAUAACUACUCGAAAGAGUUGCUAAUACCGCAUACGCUCUACGGAGGAAAGGGGGGAGUCGCAAGACCUCUCACUAUUGGAGCAGCCGAUGUCAGAUUAGCUUGUUGGUGAGGUAAAAGCUCACCAAGGCGACGAUCUGUACCUGGUCUGAGAGGACGACCAGGCACACUGGGACUGAGACACGGCCCAGACUCCUACGGGAGGCAGCAGUGGGGGAAUUUUGGACAAUGGGGGGCAACCCUGAUCCAGCAAUGCCGCGUGAGUGAAGAAGGCCUUCGGUUGUAAGCUCUUUGUUCAGGGAAGAAACGGUAGUUCUACUAAUACUGGAUACUAAU
rnacentral:rRNA from 1 species